UUGACUGUGUUUGUGCAGAGGGAGCAGGAGAGACAGACUUACCAGAAGGCUCAUGCAGAGGUGCUGGAGGUCUUGAUCCGGAGGAUUCUCCUAGUUUUGCUUUCUUCGCCUGCGAUGUCUUCUCAGAGGGACCUCUUUUAUGCCUCAUGAAGUUCGGAGCCUUAUCUGGUAGAUCGCUUAAAUGGAAGUCUGAGAUAUCCACUCCUUCGUCCUUCAGACCUUGUAGAUAAAA
rnacentral:lncRNA from 1 species